rnacentral:lncRNA from 1 species
CAUACGCACACGCACACACACACACACACACACACACACACACACACACACAGAGAGAGAGAGAGAGAGAGAGAGAAAGACAGCACAACAUCAGCAGACAUCUCAGAGUUGUGAUGGAUGUUUCUUCUCUUCAGCUCAACACAAGGAGAAGCAACACUUCAUAACCAAACAAACAUAAACAAGAAAUUCAUUCAUGGCAGAAGAUCUGUGGAGCAUCACAAACCGAAGGAGAAUUAAACAGAUAGAAAAAGAAAAAUGCCAAACAAAGAGAGCAAGAGACAAUCUACUGAACCAGAAGAGAAAAACACCCCGAAACUAAUCAGACGGAGCAGCAUUAAUAGCGGAAAACCAAACUUUUCUGAUGAUCCAGACAGUUUUAUUCUGACUGACUCUGAUGAGACAGGAGCAGCUCCUUUCACCGGACCAGCAGAAUAUAAUUUAUAUUCUUUAUACUCACUGAUUACAGUUUUUUACAAUCAUUUUUGCAUUAAUAACAGAACCUUCAUGUCAUUUCUCAAAACUCUAGACUCAAAACAUUAUUUGUAACACAGGCUGCCCAAAACUUUGCAUAUUGCGUUCAUAUCUUCAAAAAAGCCUUGCAUUUGCAGAAGCAAAAAAAAAAAGAAAAAGUAUUUUGGUUCAAAAAACUAAUUUAUGAAAUAUCAUAGGAACAUUACGUUAGCUCACCCACACACAAGAUACCCAUAGUUUCACGGUGUAUUUGUUAGUACAAGCAUUAAAUAUAGUUGUACAAGAUAUGUGAUUCAGGUUUCAUUCUUGUAUUGUAGACUAGAGAGAAUAGUACAGACACAGUGGUAUCAUUGAAUUACUGUAAUGUGAAAUUUACCGAGGAAAUAGAAAUCACAACAUAGGUUUUCCAAAGGAAAAAAUUAGAUUAAAAAAAACAAACAAAAAAAACUGUACUGUUAACGUAAGUGUUCCCCACUGCACUAUGCAUCCAUGUUUCCAUCAACC